UACGUAGGUGGCAAGCGUUGUCCGGAUUUAUUGGGUUUAAAGGGCUCGUAGGCGGCCAACUAAGUCAGACGUGAAAUCCCUCGGCUUAACCGGGGAACUGCGUCUGAUACUGGAUGGCUUGAAUCCGGGAGAGGGAUGCGGAAUUCCAGGUGUAGCGGUGAAAUGCGUAGAUAUCUGGAGGAACACCGGUGGCGAAGGCGGCAUCCUGGACCGGCAUUGACGCUGAGGAGCGAAAGCCAGGGGAGCAAACGGG
rnacentral:rRNA from 1 species